CGUUUGAGAUGCUCUUAUUAACAAGGAUGUUUGCUUCGCAGCUAAAACGCCAAGGGAUGGUGGCGCAGUUGGCUAGCUCCUUGGUCUCGUAGCUAAAAUUGCGAGUGACCCAGAACUCGAGAGUUCGAAACUCUAUCAUCCCACCCAUAAAAUGGCCAUCGUAUUGAUGAAAAGCUCAGCGACAACUUGGGUCGUCGCAUCUGCACCUGAAUCAUCAGGUGUGAAUCGAGCAAAUCUGAACCUGGCCUAUCGUUUUUUUUUUACCCUCUACAUCCGGGGUUCAGCCGCCGCCGGCGUAGCAGCCAUGCCUCCGCCGUCACUGUUGCGCCCUCCUCUCUCCCUACUCCUCCGCCGCUGCCAAACUCCAUCUCCUCUCCGACGGAUCCCCAGAUUUAGCCCUCUGCCUAAGCGGCGGCACCUCGUCGCCGCAGGGGUGGAGGAGGCGGUGGUGGGCUUCGUCGCCGGCAAGCGCAAGGCCACCGAGGUAGCCCACGCGUAGGUACUCUGCUUCCUUCUCGUCCCUGCGUCCUCGUCCUGUACUGCCUAACUUAACCCUGCUUCCUUUCCGUUGCUGAAAUUGAAAGCGUUACCUUUUCAACCUGAAUCACCUUCUAGCAGGGCAGCAAUCUCGAAAUGCUGUGUUAGUGCUAUGUAUGUUCCAAUUUACAGCCCUGCAAGUAAAAUAAUUAAUGUGGAUUCCUUUGCAGAAUUCGUUCAAACAAGAUGUGUUUGAAGCUAUUUCUUGGGUGGUGCUAAGGUUACUAAUUGUAACGUUCUUGUCUGACUAGACGGGUGUGGAGAAGUAUCGUUCGGAAAGGAGAUGCAGUGGUUGAUGCCACCUGCGGGAAUGGCAACGAUACGCUCGCUCUGCUCAAGAUGUUGGCCGACGAAACAGGGCGAGGGCGUGUCUAUGGAUUGGACAUCCAAGACUCCGCGAUAGAUAGCACUUCUUUUUUUCUGAAAAUGUCCGUCGACAGCCAUGGGGUAUGCAACUGCAGGAAACUGUAAAACUUGUUGCUGGUUUGAGUGAGGACUACCUUAUGUGGUUUCUCUUGUUAGUUUCCUUUGAGAAGGAUUAUUUUCCUCCGCCGCUCCCAAACUCCAUCUCCCCUCCGACGGAUCCCCAGAUUUAGCCCUCUGCCUAAGCGGCGGCACCACUCCGCCGUGCAGCUCGCCGACCCGCUCAUCGCCGCAGGGGUGGAGGAGGCGGUGGUGGGCUUCGUCGCCGGCAAGCGCAAGGCCACCGAGGCUUGUAGCAUUCAAUCUGGGCUACCUUCCAGGAGGAGAUAAAAAAACAAUCACAGUACCUGAGACAACUGAGCUGGCACUACAAGCUGCCAGCAGAAUUGUUGGCUCAGGGGGACUCAUAAGUGUCCUUGUCUACAUUGGGCAUCUGGGUGGAAGGGACGAACUCGAUAUUGUUGAAUCAUUUGCCUCAAGGUUGCCUGUUGAUACAUGGGUGAGCUGCAAGUUUGAAAUGAUUAACAGGCCAGUUGCUCCAGUACUAGUUCUCCUGCACAAGAAAUGAUCGCAGUCCCACUGAAGCUCUGCAAGUUUGGGAUUCCCUAUUCUGUAUUUCGAGUCGAUGAAUGAAAUGCCGCAGUGAUGCUGAAUUUCUCAUGAGUUAGAGAAAGAAAUACUGUAAAGGCUACAGUUAGCUGUAACCGGAUUAUUACGGUGUUCUGGUGAUUGCUGACAAGCAUGUUACUCCACCAAUUAUCGUUUUAUUAAGGUGUUCCGCGUCUGUCUUUUCAUGUGAAGUUCCGGCUUACUAUGUUCACUGAAAUGUUGCGCAACUAUAUGUCUGUAUCUUGAAUAUUGAUAUGUCAUAAA